UGAAAGAUUUUUUCCACCAAGUAUUGUGGAAACGUGUUUAAAAUUAAAAGAAUGUGAGAAUUGAACAUUUCGCUUAUCUUACCUGAGAAUCCUAAUACAUAGGUACCAAGUUUGAAAAAUAAGUUAAAUAAAUGUUCAUCUUAUGCAGUUACAGAUUUAUAAUAAUAACCAAUCAAAAUCUCAAAGCGAAAUCGUUUUCCGUAGCUUCGAUGGUAAAAAUUUAAAAUUUGUUUUCAUCGAUGGAUCCAUCACAUUGGUUUUCCAUUGGAUACCACAGGUAUCGAUUAAAUCAUCAAGAUAUUACAAACUAAUCAAAUGGAAGAAUAAUAUCGAUUUUGUGAAAUAUAAUGUUCAAUCCAAAUGUGAAGACUAUCACUUAGAAGGAUGGGAUGAGAUCAAUGUAUCAGAAGCUAGAACCAACAAUGAAAGUUGCAAA